CAGCACCUCAAGUGGUCAGGAUGAUUAUUGGGCCUAAAGCAUCCGUAGCCGGCGCUGUAAGUUUUCGGUUAAAUCUGUACGCUCAACGUACAGGCUGCCGGGAAUACUGCAGCGCUAGGGAGUGGGAGAGGUAGACGGUACUCGGUAGGAAGGGGUAAAAUCCUUUGAUCUAUUGAUGACCACCUGUGGCGAAGGCGGUCUACCAGAACACGUCCGACGGUGAGGGAUGAAAGCUGGGGGAGCGAACCGGAUUAGAUACCCGCGUAGUCC
rnacentral:rRNA from 1 species